rnacentral:tRNA from 1 species
GGAUGUAGCUCAGUGGUAGAGCACUUGCCUAGCAUUUGCAAGGCCCUGGGUUCAAUCCCCAGGACUG